rfam:Vigna angularis cultivar Jingnong 6 scaffold225_136, whole genome shotgun sequence.
AGGUCUUGUAGUGCAGCCAAGGAUGACUUGCCGUUAAGCUUGUUUUGGCAUUCUUAUGAAAACCUACUUCUUCAUCUUCCCAUGCUAACUAGUUAAGCGGCAAGUCAACUAUGGCUACGCUGAGGCCUCC